rnacentral:tRNA from 1 species
GGGAAUGUGGCUUAGUGGUAGAGUGCUUGCCUAGCAUGCAUGAAGGCCUAGGUUCAAUUCCUCAGUACCA